CUGUAGCGGGUAUAGUUUAGUGGUAAA
rnacentral:tRNA from 1 species